CACCCCACCAAGACCAGCCCCGCACAUCUCCUUUUCUCCCAGCGCCAGCGGAGACAGAGCAGCGGAGGACACUGACUAUCUUCAAGAGGAGACCUUCUUUCUUUAAGUUUGUUAUCCCUCCGAAUGACAGACCUCCUGCAAGUCAUGUUGGGGUGUUCUGGACCAGCACUGCUGCCUGUGCUCCCACACUGCAGCUGCAACGGGGCUGUCCCUCACUGUUCUGCUCCAUCUAGACCAUUCCCGGCUGUGCUGAGCAGGACAGAGUGCUCUAAGGAGAGGAUGGCCAGGCUGCUGCUUGCUGCGGGAGGAGUCCAGUCAACGGAAAGUCCGGUCCUGGGAAUUCUACCAUCAUCUGCUCGUGUGCCCAGGAACUCGGGGCCCCCUUUUGUCUGUUCUGCUGGAGCUGGGCCAGCCCUGCCCAGCCGCCGCAGUUUCUCCAGCACUGCUCCCUUUGCCGGGACACUCCGUUACCUGCCCAGACAUUUCCCCCUGCCUGCCGGGGACAUCCUGCCUUUCCAGCCACCAGCCCGGGAGUUUCCACCGUUCCAGCUCGGUGCUCUCGGGGUCCCAAGAGAUCAGAUUGCCCCGGGCUUUGUGAAAACAAAGCCCCUCGAGGUUCCUGGUUCUGUUUAAUGUUAAUGCUGUAGUUGUUGUUGUUUGUUUGCCUUGUUAUACUUACUAGUAAAGAACUGUUAUUCCUUUCCCCAG